UACGUAGGUGGCAAGCGUUGUCCGGAAUUACUGGGUGUAAAGGGAGCGCAGGCGGGAAGCCAAGUCAGCUGUGAAAACUACGGGCUUAACUUGUAGACUGCAGUUGAAACUGGUUUUCUUGAGUGAAGUAGAGGUUGGCGGAAUUCCGAGUGUAGCGGUGAAAUGCGUAGAUAUUCGGAGGAACACCGGUGGCGAAGGCGGCCAACUGGGCUUUAACUGACGUUGAGGCUCGAAAGCGUGGGGAGCAAACAGG
rnacentral:rRNA from 1 species